rnacentral:rRNA from 1 species
AUUGAACGCUGGCGGCAUGCCUUACACAUGCAAGUCGAACGGCAGCACGGGAGCAAUCCUGGUGGCGAGUGGCGAACGGGCGAGUAAAGUAUCGGAACGUGCCCAGUCGUGGGGGAUAACGUAGCAAAAGCUACGCUAAUACCGCAUACGAUCUAUGGAUGAAAGCGGGGGAUCGCAAGACCUCGCGCGAUUGGAGCGGCCGAGAUCAGAUUAGGUAGUUGGUGGGGUAAAGGCCUACCAAGCCGACGAUCUGUAGCUGGUCUGAGAGGACGACCAGCCACACUGGGACUGAGACACGGCCCAGACUCCUACGGGAGGCAGCAGUGGGGAAUUUUGGACAAUGGGCGCAAGCCUGAUCCAGCAAUGCCGCGUGCAGGAUGAAGGCCUUCGGGUUGUAAACUGCUUUUGUACGGAGCGAAACGGCUUCCACUAAUACUGGGGGCUAAUGACGGUACCGUAAGAAUAAGCACCGGCUAACUACGUGCCAGCCGCCGCGGUAA